UACGAAGGGUGCAAGCGUUAAUCGGAAUUACUGGGCGUAAAGCGCGCGUAGGUGGUUCAGCAAGUUGGAUGUGAAAGCCCUGGGCUCAACCUGGGAACUGCAUCCAAAACUCUGAGCUAGAGUACGGUAGAGGGUAGUGGAUUACCUCGUGUAGCGGUGAAAUAGCGUAGAUAUAGGAAGGAACACCAGUGGCGAAGGACGACUACCUGGACGUGAUACUGACACUGAGGUGCGAAAGACGU
rnacentral:rRNA from 1 species